CAAGCUCUUCCGAGCUGUCUGACAUGUGUGCGAGUCAACGUGCUAGUAAACCCGCAAGGCGCAAGGAAGCUGACUAGCGCGAUCCCCCUCGAGGGGUGCAACGCCGACUGACCUUGAUCU